UCUGUGUGCAUGUCCAUUUGUAUUGAUAUCUCUGUGUGGGGGCGUGUGUGUGUGUGUCUGAGUCUGUGUGUGUGUGCAUAUAUGCAUGUCUGCAUGACUGUAUUUGUCUAUCUAUGGCAUGUUUAUAUUUUAAUAUUAUUUAUUCGUUUAUAGUAGCACCCGCUUUGUGUGAAUGUUUUGAGGGUCUGGGUGUUUUCCUUUGUGUAUCCGGUGUACAACUUGUCCAAGGACAGUGUUCUUAAGAACAAAAAGAAUGAGGUCAUGGAAACCAGAAAGAGCACAGCAACUGGACAGGAGAGAUAAGAGUUCAGCUGAACGUGGUAGGUAGCUCAACAGUAUUGACCAAAGUUUCACAAGAAAUCUAGUUCCUUUUCAGCAACAUGUGAGAGAGAAUGAACACAAGUAAACUUUAAUGUCACCAUAGAGAAUAAGAAUAACACGACUACCACUCUGAAAACUAUAAAAAGUGUAGAAGGAAUGCUAGCUCCAUGGGGAGCUCCUGACUACUCCAGACCUACCAUCUUCCAGCAGAGCAUGCCAUCAAGAAUAAUACAGUUGUGUCAGCUAUGAAGAGAUCACAUCUACUACAAUCCCAGCCUCCUACCGCAAAAGGCUGUGUAAGGAACAGGGAGGGAUCACUGGCUACAGGUAAUUUAAAACUAUUCCAGUCCUAGCAUCUCUCAGCAGGAGAAAUGCUAGGAAAUAGGCCUGGGGCACAAUGCACAGGGAGUGCCUAGCUUCUCCACACUUCUUGUCUCCCAGCAGAGUGCUGUAGGGAACAAUACAGGAGUUCUGACUGAGUGCACUCCCGCCAUCCCAGGCCUGGCCCCUCCCAAAAGAAACUUCUGAACACAAAAGUGCGGGAACACCGGCUGCAUUAGUAUCUCCCAGCAACCUCCAGUAAGAGUUGCUCUAUGCAGCUCUGGCUGUUCAGAGCUCAAAGCUCCUGUCCCAGCAGGAGGUUCAGUAGGGAACAGUGCAGGAGAACUGGCUAUGAGUUCAGAACCUCCUUCAGUAGCAUAGAUAGAUAUUUUAAAGGUUAAAUUAUUUUGAAGGUUUAAAUUAUUAAAGGUUUAAAUAGAGAAGGAACAGGUUAAAGAAUAUUUAGAUAAGUUAGAUGUAUUCAAGUUAGUAGGAUCUGAUUAAAUUCAAUUUAGGGUAUUUAAGGAUCUAACUGAAGCAAUCUCAGAAUCUUAGUGAUUAACUUUGAGAAUAGAGGACACGUGAGGUCCUAGAGGACUGGAGAAGAGCAAACAUAGUACCUAUCUGUAGAAAUGGGAACAAAGGAUCCAGAGAAUUACAGACAGCCUAACUUUGAUACCUGAAAAAAUACUGAAAUAAAUCAUUAAACAACGGAUGUGUAACUACGUAGUGGAUAAUAGAGUGAUAAGCAAUACCCAACAUGGAUUAGUGAAGAACAAAUUAAGCAAGACCAACCUAAUUUCCUUCUUUGGCAGGGUUACUGACCUAGUGGAUAGGGGAAAGCUGUUAACAUGAUAUAUCUUGAUAUCAGUAAGGUUUUUGACACAGUCCCACAUGACAUUCUCAUAAGCAAACUAGGAAAUAUGGUCUAGAUGAAAUUACUCUAUGAUGGAUGCAAAACCAUAUUCAAAGAAUAAUUAUCAAUGGUUUGCUGUCAAACUGGGAAGGCGUUUCUAAUGAUGUCUUGCAGAGGUCAGUCCUGGGUCUGCUACUCUUCAAUAUGUUAAUUAAUGUCUUGGAUAAUGGAGUGAAGAAUAUAGGCGAGUCUCAUCUUACACUGGGGUUACGUUCCGCAGUCAGCGCAUAAAGCGAAAAUCGCGUAUAGUCAAAAUUAUAUUGAGUGUAAUGGCGGGCAGAAUUGCCCACACUACAGGUACAGUAUUUAAAUUGUUAUUUUUCUCUUUUUUUUUUUUUGCCGACUGCGCAAAGCUGAAUUCGCGCAUAUUAAAUGUGCAUAAGAUGUGACGCACCUGUAUACUUAUAAAACUUGUGAAUGACAUCAAGCUGGAAUGGGCAGUUAGCACUUUGGAGAAGAGGAUUAGAAUCCAAAAUGUCUUGACAAAUUGGAGAGACAAAUUUGAAAUUAGCAAGAUGACAUUCAAUAAAGACAGGUGCAAGGACUUCACUUAGGAAGGAAAAGUCAAAUUCACAUUUACAAAAUUGGGUAUAACUGGCUAGGUGCUAGCACUACUGAAAAGGAUCUGGAGGU